rnacentral:rRNA from 1 species
GACGAACGUUGGCGGCGUGCUUAGCACAUGCAAGUCGAACGGAAAGGCCCUGCUUUUGUGGGGUGCUCGAGUGGCGAACGGGUGAGUAACACGUGAGUAACCUGCCCUUGACUUUGGGAUAACUUCAGGAAACUGGGGCUAAUACCGGAUAGGAGCUCCUGCUGCAUGGUGGGGGUUGGAAAGUUUCGGCGGUUGGGGAUGGACUCGCGGCUUAUCAGCUUGUUGGUGGGGUAGUGGCUUACCAAGGCUUUGACGGGUAGCCGGCCUGAGAGGGUGACCGGCCACAUUGGGACUGAGAUACGGCCCAGACUCCUACGGGAGGCAGCAGUGGGGAAUAUUGCACAAUGGGCGGAAGCCUGAUGCAGCAACGCCGCGUGCGGGAUGACGGCCUUCGGGUUGUAAACCGCUUUCGCCUGUGACGAAGCGUGAGUGACGGUAAUGGGUAAAGAAGCACCGGCUAACUACGUG